ensembl:lncRNA
UGAGAGGCACAACAAAAGUGAACGAGGCAAACUUUAGUGGGCGUGAGAGCUGAUUUGAGCUAAAGUUGGUUUGUUUUUUAGGACAGAUUCACAAUUUUCUUUUCUCUCCACUCGUCUGACCUGAGAGUUGCUUCCUUGCACACCUAUGACCUACAGGAUCCUCCAGCUGUCAGCACACACCUGCUGGAUGACACCUGGAUGGGCCCAGCAUACGUUUAGCGCUGUGAAUCCUCAGAGUGGGUGGACUGGGUGAGGAGGAGGGGGAGAGGGCACAGUGAUAGGAGGUUUUAAUGAGGACCUCCAUCCUUAAACCUCCAGAGAGCCAAGACCUGAAGGGCCCCGCUGGCUGUGAGGUGGCGGCGCUGACCUCCCUCAGCUGCCUCUGCCAUCCACCACUUCCUGGAGAGUUUGAGCCAUCCAUUCACAGAAAAGUUGAGCAACUUUACACAACAAAAUGUGCAUUUUUAAACCUUGCGUCUCAUGUUAUGGCAAUACAUCAGGUCGUCAUAGAUUUCAUUCACAGUCAUUAAUG